rnacentral:rRNA from 1 species
AUUGAACGCUGGCGGCAGGCCUAACACAUGCAAGUCGAGCGGAUGAAGGGAGCUUGCUCCUGGAUUCAGCGGCGGACGGGUGAGUAAUGCCUAGGAAUCUGCCUGGUCGUGGGGGAUAACGUCCGGAAACGGGCGCUAAUACCGCAUACGUCCUGAGGGAGAAAGUGGGGGAUCUUCGGACCUCACGCUAUCAGAUGAGCCUAGGUCGGAUUAGCUAGUUGGUGGGGUAAAGGCUUACCAAGGCGACGAUCCGUAACUGGUCUGAGAGGAUGAUCAGUCACACUGGAACUGAGACACGGUCCAGACUCCUACGGGAGGCAGCAGUAGGGAAUAUUGGACAAUGGGCGAAAGCCUGAUCCAGCCAUGCCGCGUGUGUGAAGAAGGUCUUCGGAUCGUAAAGCACUUUAAGUUGGGAGGAAGGGCAGUAAGUUAAUAUCUUGCUGUUUUGACGGUACCAACAGAAUAAGCAACGGCUAACUUCGUG